AAGCGCUUGCAAUUAGACUUGCUGCAGUUGAUCAAUGUUCCUUUUGGUUCAUGCACUCUGCUGUUUGCAGGCCAGUAUCAGUUAGAGCGGUAGGUCAAAGACUUCAGGAAUGUGGCUUUCUUCGGGGAGUGUUAUAGCCUGUUGUGUAAUGCUAUCAGUUCUGACUGAGGUCCGCGGUUCGUCCUAGGAUACUGGCAUAAUGAUUGUAAGCGA
rnacentral:rRNA from 1 species